rnacentral:rRNA from 1 species
GAUGAACGCUGGCGGCGUGCCUAAUACAUGCAAGUCUAGCGAACGUACUAGACGCUUGCUUCUCUGAUGUUAGCGGCGGACGGGUGAGUAACACGUGGAUAACCUACCUAUAAGACUGGGAUCACUUCGGGAAACCGUCGCUAAUACCGGAUAAUAUUUUGAACCGCAUGGUUCAAAAGUGAAAGACGGUCUUGCUGUCACUUAUCGAUGGAUCCGCGCUGCAUUAGCUAGUUGUUAAGGUAACGGCUUACCAAGGCAACGAUGCAUAGCCGACCUGAGAGGGUGAUCGGCCACACUAGAAAUGAGACACGGUCCAGACGCCUACGGGAGGCAGCAGUAGGGAAUCUUCCGCAAUGGGCGAAAGCCUGACGGAGCAACGCCGCGUGAGUGAUGAAAGUGUUCGGAUCGUAAAACUCUGUUAUUAGGGAAGAACAGAUGUGGAAGUAACUGUGCAAAUAUUGACGGUACCUAAUCAGAAAGCAACGGCUAACUACGUG